AGGUAAUGUCUCCUUACCUUUAUCGACGGAGGCACUCGGCCAUGUUGUGGGUCGUCAAUCAGCGAUGACCUUAGACGCGUCCGUUGUCAUUGAUGUGGCGUGAGGUGAGGUUCAAUGCCUC
rfam:Bacillus halodurans C-125 DNA, complete genome.